ACAGGGGCAGAAAAUAGCACACUUUUACUCUACGCAACUGUUGCUUUUUCAUGAUCUUCAGGAAUUUUACUGGGAUAAUUAUCCAAAUAAAUUGCAAGCAUUCUAUCCAAAUGGUGAUCUUCUGAGAUAUUUUGAGGGAAAGAGGUAGUAUACCAAAAUGGAAAUACUACGCAAGGAGCUCUUUCUGAGAUGAAGAGAAUUCUCAAUGUCAAGAUUUGAACAAGAAGAGAAUGGAAUACACAAUAUGGACAUCCAUAAAAAUUCAUCAGAGAGCAUUUUACUACUGAGCUGCAAAGGGAAAAACUUAAAAUGGAUAUGAAAAGUGAAGAAAGUGAUCAUAGGAGAAAACCAUUUCAGGUGUCUGAUGAUUUGUGAGCCUCAAGUGACUACUCUGUGGAAUCAUCUGUCCUUGCCUUUGAAUUAGCUUUCCCUAGGCCAUGAGUCAACAUUAGUAGUUUAUACAUCCAAAUUGAUGACAAGAGCACCUCAAAGGCAGCAGCCUCAAGGAGCAGCCAUGGCCCCAGACUUGUCGCACGGAUGCAGAAAACUUAAUGGAGGAGGCUGAGGUCAGAAUGGGAAGAGUUUUUAAAAAAUAAAAAGGGGAGCUAAUAUGU
rnacentral:lncRNA from 1 species